rnacentral:rRNA from 1 species
GAUCAUGGCUCAGGAUGAACGCUAGCUACAGGCUUAACACAUGCAAGUCGAGGGGAAACGAUAUUGGAAGCUUGCUUCCGAUAGGCGUCGACCGGCGCACGGGUGAGUAACGCGUAUCCAACCUGCCCACCACUUGGGGAUAAACCUUGCGAAAGUAAGACUAAAUGCCCAAUGACAUCCCACGAAGGCAUCCGAAUGGGAUUAAAGAUUUAAUCGGUGAUGGAUGGGGAGUGCGUCUGAUUAG